AGCUGACAUCAGUCAGCCUCAGCUGAGCUUGUAGAUGUUAAUAAUUUAAUUUCAUUAAUUUAGGCCGUAGAUUAUGUAGUUCUUCAACUAUAUUGUAUAUUUUGUCCAACUUGCUUCUAAUCUAAAUAUCAGUUCUACAAAUGGAGGAACACAAAAGUAUAUGUCGCCUUUGUCUCGGUACAUGCCUAGAGUCAGACAGCAUUUCAGUGAACGAUGCUGAACUUCAAUUAAAAUUUCAGAUUGUGUUUAAAUUCGAAUUUUCCGACGAAGAGUGCUUCCCCAGAAGUGUUUGCCCAUUGUGUUCAUCUAAAGUCGUAGACUAUCACUUCUUCCACGAAAUGGUUCGUACAAAUCAAGCCCAACUCAAAAUAUUAUCCGACCAGGUAACGCAACAAUCGUCUUCAGACGAUAUCAAGAUAGAGUUUUCCUUGGAUUCGUUCGAUCACCAGAGCGAUAUCUCGUCUAAGUCGUAUAGUCCACCUGUCGACCGAGAUUCGGAAAACUUUGCUUCAACUCCUGACGUUAAAAAAGAAGAUGAGCUAUUGAAUGUUAGAAAGCGAAAACGAAAAAGGAAAGUAGAAACCAACACAACAGAAGCAAUAGAAAUUCUAGAAAAUGCAGAACACACCGAGGAAAAAGCGAGGAUGUUGGAAGAUGAAAAUAGAAAAAUUCAAGAGUUUUUUACGUUAAAUUGCGAAUCUUGCCCAGAAUCGUUCGAUUCUUUUUAUAGGCUUCAGAGGCAUACUCGAAAAAUUCAUAACGCUCGUGGUAGCAUCAAAUGCUGCAACCGCGUAUUUUAUAAGAAAUGUAAGAUCUUAGCUCACAUAAAUUCUCACCUGAAUCCUAGGCAGUUUCAUUGCGAUAUAUGCAACAAAAACUACAACGACAGAUACUAUCUUAAUUUACACCAGCUGAGAACGCAUAACAAUGGCAAGGAGAAGGCCUUCAAAUGUGACAAGUGUGCACAAGCAUUCCACAAGAAGUAUCUCUUGAAAGCCCAUCUCAGUACACACAUUCAAAUGGAGUGUUCGAUUUGCCACAAGAUCCUAGCGAGUGCAUCCACUCUGCGAUCACACAUGAUUAACAUGCACGGCGAAGAUACGAAACUUAUCUGCGACAGUUGUGGGCAAGAGUUCCGUACCAAGCUAGCUAUGGAGAGACACAUCAAGCGACACAUGGGAAUCGACCCUAUCGAGAGGGUCCAGUGUGACAUAUGCAGCAAGUGGGUGAACGGAAAACCCAACCUGAAGAUCCACAUCAAAACGGUCCACAGCGAGGAGAAGCAAACGGUCUCGUGUGAUCUGUGCCAGCAAAUCUAUCCAAACAUGCGUGCACUGAGCACCCACAAACGGCGCGUGCACGUAGAGGAGCGCUUCGAGUGUGAAUUUUGCGGGAAGAAAUUUAAACGGAAAAUCUACUGGAAGGAACAUCGCGCCUCACAUACGGGCCAGACACUGUACUCGUGUGAUGUCUGUGGAAUGACUACUAAUUCGAAUGCGAAUCUGUAUUCGCACAAGAAAAGCAAACACCCGGACGAGUGGAUGGAGGCGAGGAAAAAAGCUCUCGCGGCAGCAUACGGCCAAUCGAGUGGUGCUGGUAGAGAUGACGUUCCUGUUUGAAAUUGUUGUUGAUUGCGAGUUGUUGUUGGUUCAACUCAGUCAGCACGGCAAUUAAAGUGUGUGUCGGUCUAGUCUCGAGAACACCACGAUUUGUAUAAAGAAAAACUCGUUUUCUUGUAUGAAAUUGGAUAUCGAUAGAAGAGUAGUACAAAAUUGAAGAAUUGGUAAACUAAAAGCAAAGAGAGUGACUUGAAGAGUUGGCAGUACGUUUAGAAAAUCUAUCGACGAAGAAAAGCACGCGAGGUGAAAGUAGCAGAAACAAAGUGAGGUUAUAGCAGGAAUUGGUUAUCCCUCGGAUACCGGACGAAUAAGUGAAGGAAAAAAGAUGGCGGACAGCAAACCAAACAACAAGAAAAAUUUGAAUGCACCAUCUGGGACGAGGCUCCAUACCGAGUUUACUUCGAGCUGUAAGGUGGAUCACAAGCCGGAUGAAUGAACAAAUUUUCACUGGGAUCAAAGCUGCGGCCGAUUCCAAUCCACUUCUGGACGGUUUAGCAAUAUGUUUGAUUUGUUCAAAACAAGAGAAUUGAAAAUUUGCAGACAUUACGUAUUUCAUGAAAAAAGCAGCUUUGGAUUUGUAUAGAAAAACUCAUAGUAAGAGAACUGCGGAGAAAAAAACAGCAUUUUUGGCAACGUAUGCCCCGGCAUUGUAUGGCAACACGUCCAAUGUUAUAAGGAUACACGGUUAAAUAAAACAACCUGCAGAAUAAGUUCUUUUAACGUACUUUUGAGUUGUGCGUCGCUUUCGCACUUAUUAGUGUUGUCAAAAACAAAACGAGAGGUUCGACUCAGUCGAGGUCUUCCGUGGAGGAAGGUACUUUUG